rnacentral:rRNA from 1 species
GCAAGUCGCACGAGAAAGGGUAGCAAUCCUGGAGUACAGUGGCGCACGAGUGAGUAACACGUGGGCAANNCUCCUUCGAUGGGGAAUAACUCCGGGAAACCGAAGCUAAUACCGCAUAACAUUCCUUGGACCUCGGUUCGAGGACUCAAAGCCGUAAGGCGUCGAAGGAGGAGCCCGCGCACGAUUAGCUAGUUGGUAGGGUAACGGCCUACCAAGGCUUUGAUCGUUAGCUGGUCUGAGAGGAUGGCCAGCCACACUGGAACUGAGACACGGUCCAGACUCCUACGGGAGGCAGCAGUGGGGAAUCUUGCACAAUGGGCGAAAGCCUGAUGCAGCGACGCCGCGUGGGGGAUGAAGCAUUUCGGUGUGUAAACCCCUUUCGACCCGGACGAAUGCCUCGCAAGAGGAGUGACGGUACGGGUAUAAGAAGCCCCGGCUAACUACGUGCCAGCAGCCGCGGUAAGACGUAGGGGGCCAGCGUUGUUCGGAAUUACUGGGCGUAAAGCGUGCGCAGGCGGUUAUGUAAGACAGUUGUGAAAUCCCCGGGCUCAACCUGGGAACUGCAUCUGUGACUGCAUAGCUAGAGUACGGUAGAGGGGGAUGGAAUUCCGCGUGUAGCAGUGAAAUGCGUAGAUAUGCGGAGGAACACCGAUGGCGAAGGCAAUCCCCUGGACCUGUACUGACGCUCAUGCACGAAAGCGUGGGGAGCAAACAGGAUUAGAUACCCUGGUAGUCCACGCCCUAAACGAUGUCAACUGGUUGUUGGGUCUUCACUGACUCAGUAACGAAGCUAACGCGUGAAGUUGACCGCCUGGGG